rnacentral:rRNA from 1 species
GAUCCUGGCUCAGAAUGAACGCUGGCGGCAUGCCUAACACAUGCAAGUCGAACGAAGGCUUCGGCCUUAGUGGCGCACGGGUGCGUAACGCGUGGGAAUCUGCCCCUUGGUUCGGAAUAACAGUUAGAAAUGACUGCUAAUACCGGAUGAUGACGUAAGUCCAAAGAUUUAUCGCCGAGGGAUGAGCCCGCGUAGGAUUAGCUAGUUGGUGUGGUAAGAGCGCACCAAGGCGACGAUCCUUAGCUGGUCUGAGAGGAUGAUCAGCCACACUGGGACUGAGACACGGCCCAGACUCCUACGGGAGGCAGCAGUGGGGAAUAUUGGACAAUGGGCGAAAGCCUGAUCCCAGCAAUGCCGCGUGAGUGAUGAAGGCCUUAGGGUUGUAAAGCUCUUUUACCCGGGAUGAUAAUGACAGUACCGGGAGAAUAAGCUCCGGCUAACUCCGUGCCAGCCGCCGC